rnacentral:rRNA from 1 species
UACGAAGGGGACUAGCGUUGUUCGGAAUUACUGGGCGUAAAGCGCACGUAGGCGGAUUUGUUAGUCAGGGGUGAAAUCCCGGGGCUCAACCUCGGAACUGCCUUUGAUACUGCAAGUCUCGAGUCCGAUAGAGGUGGGUGGAAUUCCUAGUGUAGAGGUGAAAAUUCGUAGAUAUUAGGAAGAACACCGGUGGCGAAGGCGGCCCACUGGAUCGGUACUGACGCUGAGGUGCGAAACGUGGGG